ACACUGACAGUCUGAUCAGCUGGUUCAGUUAACAGCACGUUUGGCCGGUGCUACUUGGUACUUGGUAUUUGGUACUCUUCAGUUGCCAGUUGAUACUUGUCGUUUUCAGUUAUCCGAUCCUAAAGAUUUUUAUACCUCGCAUCACUGGCAAUGAUAGCACAUUUCGAAUUUAGAGUAUUUUAAUUAUUUAUUUUUUGAUUUACCGUUUGUAUUCAACUUUUAAUAAUAGAUGCUAUUGGGUUGUGAGUGGAAGAAAUUGCUUAGGUACGUUGUCUUGAUAACAGUUUUCAUUAUAUACACUUUUGCUAUAUAUUUCCCGGAUUAUAAACGCCCUCCAGUCAAACAAGUUGCAGGUUGGGAGUUGAAUGUUACCCGCGAUGUUAGAGUUUAUGUAGUUCCCGAGAACAUAACAUCAAUUAUAAGCGGGAAAAAUUUAUGUGAAGAUCAGAAAGUAAAUGUAAUAAUCAUAGUCUGCUCAGCGCCAGAAAAUGUUGAUCGAAGGCUCGCUAUACGCCAGACCUGGGGCUUGCACAAUUUCUCAAACGUGAGAGUGGGCUUCCUGCUUGGUUGGACGUACAACAUAUCAUUGCAGAUACAAAUCGAGCAAGAGAGCAGCGAAUAUCACGAUGUUAUUCAGGAGAAUUUCAUCGAUUCGUACAACAACCUCACGAUCAAAAGUGUCAUGAUGCUCAAAUGGUACAUACAUUAUUGUCCGUCCUCUACAUAUCUCAUGAAGACAGACGACGACGUGUUUGUCAACGUUACCAAUCUGUCCAGGCUUCUAGAAAACCUCAACUACACGGUUGUCCUCCUCGGCUCCCUUAUUUGCCAUGCAAAACCUAUUUUAGAUGUUAAUAAUAAAUGGUAUAGCCCAAAAUAUUUGUACAGAAAAGCUUUUUAUCCUAAUUAUCUUUCUGGGACGGGAUAUGUAAUGUCUAGGCAGGUGGCUGUGAAACUUUUCAAUGCUGCAUUAACAACUCCUCUUAUUCACCUCGAAGACGUUUACAUAACAGGUAUUUGUGCAUUGAAGGCUGGCGUAAAACCGAAGAAUAACAUGGCAUUCACGUAUUUGCACUUGAGUGAUAACUGCCUUUUGAACAUGAUCACGAAUCACAGGAUGACCCCACAGGAGCUGUACAUCUUAUGGAAAAACAGGAACAAUUGCGUCGAAAAGCCGAGACUGACCGCGACACAUCGUACUAAAUUGAAGAAGAUACAGAGCGAUUGUCAUUAGUUUAAAUUUUUAAUUUUCACCUAGUUCUUACUCUUCGAGAGUAGAGAAGUGAAAAGGCUGUUGAAGUUCAUUGCAGGAAACCCGGAGCUUACUCUCAGUUAUCCGGCGGGUUUCUCGACCAAGCCAGGCAGCCACCCCUUGGCAGGCACGAUCCUGAAAAAAGUAUAGCCAGACGCGUGUGAGCUUUUAUGAGGCAGUUUUAACAUGGGGAGAGAAUCAAACAUUGCCACCAUGUCGAUAAGGGUCCUAUCGAGCCAAGUAACUGUGUUCGGAUAAAGGAAACCGCCUUCGUAGAAGCC